UAAGCACUGAAAACCACGAGUUUUAAAAUAGAUAUGACCGACCGUAAUGUACUAAAAAUGUGCGAUGCUAGCUAGUGAUCUAAAAGGCCGUCCUGUGGUUUGAAAACAAGGUGGAUUCUGCAUGUUGCGCAACCCUCGAUGGCUCAGCGGCAAACUUGGUGCUUGUAACGUGAACAUUCGGGGUUGAUCUGUGCAGCUGGCACAGCACAGAAACCCCUAUUGUACAUCCUAUGUUAACAACACAUAAGGAAAUCUGGAUAUUGUAUUAAUUCAAACAGCUGAGUGUCAGCACUACGUUGGAAAGAACGUCGAGAGCGUGAGCAACAGGAUUUAGAGUAUGCAAAGGAAAUGGCAGAUGAAGAUGAUGAGGGGUUUCCAUAGCAACAUCAAGAUAAUCCUUCUCCUUGGGAAGAUUUGUUCCAGAAAGACCAGUUUCCAUGGUGACAGGAGAUUUGUUUAGCUAGUUUGAUAAGUUGUACUACUAUAAUAGUACUGAAAACAAUAAAUUCUUUAUGGCAAA